rnacentral:snRNA from 1 species
CUGGAAUAUGUCCAAUGU